rnacentral:lncRNA from 10 species
CAGACCACCUGGGUUCCAAUCUUGGCAUUGCCACUGGAAAAGAAUGUGACCUGAAACACCAAGGAAAGACCAUAUGAGCACACAGCAAGAAGGUGGCUGUCUGAAAAUCAGGAAGAGGAACUUCACCAGAACAUGACUCCAUCAGCACCUUUAUCUUGCACUUCCACCCUUCAUAACUGUGAGAAAUAAAUUUCUGUUGUUU